ensembl:rRNA 5S_rRNA 5S ribosomal RNA
GCUUACGGCCAUACCACCCUGAGCACGUCUAAUCUCGGAAGCUAAGCAGGGUCGGGCCUGGUUAGUACUUGGAUGGGAGACCGCCUGGGAAUACCAGGUGCUGUAAGCU